GCCGAAGUGGUGGAACUGGUAGACACGCUGUCUUGAGGGGGCAGUGGGGGAAACCCUGUGCGGGUUCGAGUCCCGCCUUCGGCACAA
rnacentral:tRNA from 1 species